rnacentral:lncRNA from 1 species
UAAAGGAGGCAGCUGCAGGAACAUGAGGGAGAAAAGAAUUCCAGGCUGAAGGCACUGAGGAUGUAAAAGCCCUGAGGUGGAAACAAGCUUGAUGUGUUUUAGAAACAGGUGCCUAAUGAAGCUACAGCAGAGUGAGCGGAGUAGAGUGCUAUGCCUGGCUCAACCAGUGAAGGUGUGACCUGCGCAGAGUUGACAGGCAGGAAGCUCUCGACGGGAGCGCCCUCCUGGUUCUGCGCUGCGCGCCCGCAGCCCGCACAGCCUCCAGGGGGCGCCCGGGGCCCGCGCUGCCCGAACCAGGCGUCCUGCGGGCCUCGGGGCAGAGGACUGCCGCCAAAGCCGCGACCUGGGUCCACCUGGGUUUCUCCCCCUCGUCUUGGAUCCGCUUCCCCCUCACCCACCGAAGGAUGGUGAGCUGGAGAGGGGCCCGGCUAGGGCGGGUGGACGCGUCGUCUGGGGAGCGCAGCCUCUUGGACCGGUCACCGCUUCAUCCCGCCUUUGAGACCCUGGUUUCCAAAGUGACAUUGGAUAGUUUCACUGCCCGCCGCGCCCCUGCGGAAGCCAGCGGGGCUGCUCGACUGAGGGUCUCGGACGACGCCCCCUGCUGGCUGUCCGCAUCAUGGGGAAAACGAAGUCCAGGUGGUUUUAC